UAAUACGUAGGGUGCAAGCGUUAUCCGGAAUUAUUGGGCGUAAAGAGCUCGUAGGCGGUUUGUCGCGUCUGCUGUGAAAACCCGAGGCUCAACCUCGGGCCUGCAGUGGGUACGGGCAGACUAGAGUGCGGUAGGGGAGAUUGGAAUUCCUGGUGUAGCGGUGGAAUGCGCAGAUAUCAGGAGGAACACCGAUGGCGAAGGCAGAUCUCUGGGCCGUAACUGACGCUGAGGAGCGAAAGCGUGGGGAGCGAACAGGAUUAGAUACCCUGGUAGUCCACGCCGUAAACGAUGGGCACUAGGUGCUUGGG
rnacentral:rRNA from 1 species